UGCACUGUGCAACAUUUCAGAGAUCCUCCUUUGGAAAAACAAGAGCUCCUUGUGCCAUCUGUCCUGCAAGUAGACAGCAACCCUACCUCAGCCUCUGAGAUGGUUCUCUGUUUGCUUUGGUACCCCUGAAUUUGUUCUGCACAACGGGAAAAAAAGCUCCAAAUCACAUUCCUGGAACAGACUGGAUUUUUUUGCAUACUGCUGCACUUCUGUACAAUAGGUUGUUAGCAUGGAUUUAAGUAACAAAAAUAGAAUGCAGGAUUCCUCUUACAUCAUUCAAGAGACAUUAUUCAAUGCCAAGAUGAAAAAGAUAUUUGCUUGAAGACUUAUCUACACGGGGCACUGAAUCAUCUGUGGCUGAACCAGCGUGCAUUGUUUCACUUACAGUGUCCCUGGGCACUCCUCACACGAGUCCUGGAUUCCCGCCUGCAGGAGCACUGGGUUCUGGGAGGAUUUAAAAACCACUUCUGAGCUGAAAGAAGAAACAGGCAAGCCAGUAAGAUUUGAAAAUGCGUUUAGUUAACAAGAUAAAACUCCAGGAGACACUCAAAUUAUUUU